AUGGACCUGCCAUGGCUGCUACCUCAAGACGUGCUCGCCGAUGUCCUCCGGUUUGUUCCGCCGCGCAGCCUCGCCGCAUGCCGCUGCGUUUGCAAGGCCCUGCGGAGCACCAUUGACGACCACUGCCUACUACGUGCGGAUCUCCUCCCGCUGUCGGUCGCCGGCAUCUUCAUCAAUUUUAACGACCUCCCUUUGCCGGAAUUUUUCUCCCGUCCCUCGGCGCCGGCGGGGCCCUCAAUCUCCGGUAGAUUCGACUACUUGCCAUCCUCCGGUCUCCGUUUGAUCCGAGAUCACUGCAAUGGCCUCCUCUUAUUCAAGGACUACGUGGCUAACCCUGCCACUCGACAAUGGGAAUCCUUGCCACCGCGUUCGUCAAUGUUUAUGGACGUAGAUGCGGAUUUCACUUAUGAAGACUACCUCGUGUUUGAUCCAACGUUAUCACCCCACUAUGAGGUGUUUGUAAUCCCACGUCUACGUUACAAAAGAGUGAUGAGAGGUUUUCAUGACAACAAUUCAGAGGUGAUGGAGAAAUCUGAAUGGCCUUCGUCUGUGCUCGAUCUGCACGUGUUCUCCUCAAAGUCAGGUUGCUGGGAGGGGAGGGGUUUUAUUCGAGAAGGAAAGGCUGUUGGCACCGUCGCCGAAAUGCGACGGCCACAUUGGAGUUGGGACAAAAAACGAUAUGGCGUAUACUGGCGGGGUGAUCUUUUCGUGCUGUGCGAAGCUGAAUUUACAAUGAGGAUAUCUUUGUCAAAUUGUACAUAUAGAUUAAUUAAGUCGCCGAUGGACACUGAAGUAUGCAGAAAUUCGGGAUUUCAUCUAGGACGGUUGAAAAAAGGGGUGUAUCUUGCAUCUCUUCAUACUGCAUGUCUUCUUAUGGUUUGGGUCCUUGAGGUAGCUCAUGGCCACACGAAUUGGGUACUGAAACAUAACAUUUGUCUUAAAUCUAUACUACAACGUCGAGAUUAUAAAGAACCCGUACUUGGCUCAUGGGUCUUGCAAGAUAUUAACUUUGACGAGGGUGUCAAAUAUUAUAAGGAGCAUAAUGAACAUGCUGGCUACAUGGAAUUUCUAAUGCAGAAGAAAUCUAUAUUGAACUCAUCAUGCAAGGAGGAGCUAUUGGAAGAAGAGUAUGAAUGGGACUCCGAAAAUGAUGAUAUUCUUGACCAGAAAGAUGUGGUUGGCAAUUGUUACCACGGAUGUGUGGGCAUCCUCGGUUUUCAUCCUUAUAAGGAGAUUGUCUUUCUGAAAGUAUCAUUGUACAGGGCACUAGCUUAUCAUUUGAAAGUCUCAAAGGUUCAAGAUCUAGGCUACAUAUACCCGACAAGUUAUUAUGAAGUUAUGUCGAUCGACCGGUUCAUAAGAGAGUCAUUUCUGUACACACCCUGCUGGAUACGACAUGAGAGUUCAAACGGAUGUGGAAAGCCUCUGUUGAAACCCAAUUGA
rnacentral:rRNA from 1 species